GGCCAAGUUUUUAAGGGCGCACGGUGGAUGCCUUGGCACCAGGAACCGAUGAAGGACGUGGGAGGCCACGAUAGUCCCCGGGGAGCCGUCAACCAGGCUUUGAUCCGGGGGUUUCCGAAUGGGGAAACCCGGCAGUCGUCAUGGGCUGUCACCCAUACCUGAACACAUAGGGUAUGUGGAGGGAACGCGGGGAAGUGAAACAUCUCAGUACCCGCAGGAAGAGAAAACAACCGUGAUUCCGGGAGUAGUGGCGAGCGAAACCGGAUGAGGCCAAACCGUAUACGUGUGAGACCCGGCAGGGGUUGCGUAUGCGGGGUUGUGGGAUCUCUCUUCUGUCGUCUGCCGGCGGCAGGACGAGUCAGAAACCGUUGAUGUAGGCGAAGGACAUGCGAAAGGUCCGGCGUAGAGGGUAAGACCCCCGUAGUCGAAACAUCAGCGGCUCGUUUGAGAGACACCCAAGUAGCACGGGGCCCGAGAAAUCCCGUGUGAAUCUGGCGGGACCACCCGCUAAGCCUAAAUAUUCCCUGGUGACCGAUAGCGGAUAGUACCGUGAGGGAAUGGUGAAAAGUACCGCGGGAGCGGAGUGAAAUAGUACCUGAAACCGUGUGCCUACAAGCCGUGGGAGCGUCGCGCA
rnacentral:ncRNA from 1 species